rnacentral:lncRNA from 1 species
CUCCUUGUAUAGAACCACCACCACCUCCACCGUGUAUAGAGUAUUCACCUCCUCCUCCUCCACCAGUCGUUCAUUAUAGCUCUCCGCCUCCACCGCCAGUCUACUACAGCUCUCCGCCACCUCCACCAGUCUAUUACAGCUCUCCACCUCCGCCACCGCCGGUUCAUUACAGCUCUCCGCCACCACCAGAAGUCCAUUACCAUUCUCCGCCUCCAUCUCCAGUACACUACAGCUCUCCACCACCGCCACCAUCAGCUCCAUGUGAAGAAUCUCCUCCACCAGCACCGGUAGUUCACCACAGUCCACCACCGCCCAUGGUUCACCACAGCCCACCACCUCCAGUGAUCCACCAAAGCCCACCAC